rnacentral:tRNA from 1 species
CGGGGCGUUGCCUAGUGGCUAUGGCGCUUGCUUUGGGAGCAAGAGAUCGCGCGUUCGACUCGCGCCGCCCCGA